GGGCUCGUAGCUCAAUUGGUAGAGCAAGGGACUCUUAAUCCCUGGGUUGUAGGUUCAAUUCCUACCGGGCUCA
rnacentral:tRNA from 1 species